GCCGGGAUGGUGAAAUAGGCAUACACAGAUUCCUCAAAAGAAUCCGUCCGAAAGGGCAUGCGGGUUCGAGUCCCGCUCCCGGCACCA
rnacentral:tRNA from 1 species